GGUCUCCCGGCAGGACCCCGCUGUAGCUGCCUCGCCGUUCGCCUGACCCGCGCUGGCGGACUGAGGCGGCGGCGCCUGGGGCGGGCAGGACGCGGCGGUCAGGCGUUCGCCCCGCGGUGGGAAGGUCCCGCCCGGAAGCGGGGUGUCCAUGGCGACCGGCGCGGCUCUGAGGAGAGGUCGUUCCCGGUGCUCUGCCCCGGGGCGGGGGAGGGCAGCUGCUCUUCCCUGCGGAAAUAAACUCCUUUCCUCCCUCUUUAAAACCGAUUCCUCUGAGCGCGCUGUGAAUUGCCAACGCUGGACUCUGGCAGCCGCUAGCCGUGUCGGGCGGGAACACCAUUUGAAGACUAUACAAUAAAAAAAAUAUGUAUAAUGCUGGCUGGCAUAGAGCAAUUGACAGUAAAUAUGAUGGUGGUUCACAGCUGUUAAGCACUUUAUUAAGCAAUGGAAACUUCAUACCUGGUGACAGGAUUCGCACCAUCCAGCACUAUGUUCAGAGGGAUUGUGGUGAAGCAAGGGUGUUUUGGUGAGUACCUGAAGUGAAUUCACAGAAGGGUUCAGGUGGGAAGGAACCACUGGAGAUCAUCUAGUCAACUCCCCCUGCUCCAGCAGGGCCACGUCUAGUUGGGUUUUGACUGUCUACAAGGAUGGAGACUCCACAACCUAUCUGGGCAACCUGUGCGAGUUUUUUUACACACCCUCACAAUAAAAAAAAAAAAGUUUGUUUUCUUGUAUUCAGGUGGGAUUUUAUGUGUUUUCAUUUGUGCCCAUUGCCCUGCCAGUGGGCACUACUGAGGAGUGCCUGGCUCCCUCCCCUUCCUUCCAUCCCACCAGGUGUUCAUGCACAUUGAUAAGAUCCCCCUGAGCCUUCAACAGGCUGGACAGUCCCACCUCUCUCAGCCUCAUGCUCCAGACCAUUCAUCAUCAUCGUGGCCUGCCCCUGGACUCUCUCCAGGAUGUCCAUGCCUUGGAUAUGGGGAUCCCAGCACUGGACACAGCACUCCAGGUGCAGCCUCACCAGUGCCGAGCGAUUGGGAAACGUACUGGGAAAGUAAGGGGUACGCUUACUGAAGCCCUACUUCCCAGGAAGUGGCUGGACAUCGCCUGCUGAUGGGAAGUAGAGAAUAAUCUUUUGCUUUUUGCUUUGCUUCUGCGCGCGGCUUUUUGCUUUAGCUACAUUAAACUGCCUUUAUCUUGA